rnacentral:misc_RNA from 1 species
UCAAGUUACAGCGGAGGCGCUCUCGGGUGUCCUCCUGUCUGCAACCCUUGUCUUUUGCGUACUGUAUGUUUCCUCGGUGGGCUCGCCUGCCGAUAGGACAUUCAUAAACUCUUUGUAAUUGCAAUCAGCGUCAGAAAAACUUAUAAUAGUUA